UGCAAGUCGAACGCGUUGGCCCAAUUGAUUGAUGGUGCUUGCACCUGAUUGAUUUUGGUCGCCAACGAGUGGCGGACGGGUGAGUAACACGUAGGUAACCUGCCCAGAAGCGGGGGACAACAUUUGGAAACAGAUGCUAAUACCGCAUAACAGCGUUGUUCGCAUGAACAACGCUUAAAAGAUGGCUUCUCGCUAUCACUUCUGGAUGGACCUGCGGUGCAUUAGCUUGUUGGUGGGGUAACGGCCUACCAAGGCGAUGAUGCAUAGCCGAGUUGAGAGACUGAUCGGCCACAAUGGGACUGAGACACGGCCCAUACUCCUACGGGAGGCAGCAGUAGGGAAUCUUCCACAAUGGGCGCAAGCCUGAUGGAGCAACACCGCGUGAGUGAAGAAGGGUUUCGGCUCGUAAAGCUCUGUUGUUAAAGAAGAACACGUAUGAGAGUAACUGUUCAUACGUUGACGGUAUUUAACCAGAAAGUCACGGCUAACUACGUGCCAGCAGCCGCGGUAAUACGUAGGUGGCAAGCGUUAUCCGGAUUUAUUGGGCGUAAAGAGAGUGCAGGCGGUUUUCUAAGUCUGAUGUGAAAGCCUUCGGCUUAACCGGAGAAGUGCAUCGGAAACUGGAUAACUUGAGUGCAGAAGAGGGUAGUGGAACUCCAUGUGUAGCGGUGGAAUGCGUAGAUAUAUGGAAGAACACCAGUGGCGAAAGGCGGCUACCUGGUCUGCAACUGACGCUGAGACUCGAAAGCAUGGGUAGCGAACAGGAUUAGAUACCCUGGUAGUCCAUGCCGUAAACGAUGAGUGCUAGGUGUUGGAGGGUUUCCGCCCUUCAGUGCCGGAGCUAACGCAUUAAGCACUCCGCCUGGGGAGUACGACCGCAAGGUUGAAACUCAAAGGAAUUGACGGGGGCCCGCACAAGCGGUGGAGCAUGUGGUUUAAUUCGAAGCUACGCGAAGAACCUUACCAGGUCUUGACAUCUUGCGCCAACCCUAGAGAUAGGGCGUUUCCUUCGGGAACGCAAUGACAGGUGGUGCAUGGUCGUCGUCAGCUCGUGUCGUGAGAUGUUGGGUUAAGUCCCGCAACGAGCGCAACCCUUGUUACUAGUUGCCAGCAUUAAGUUGGGCACUCUAGUGAGACUGCCGGUGACAAACCGGAGGAAGGUGGGGACGACGUCAGAUCAUCAUGCCCCUUAUGACCUGGGCUACACACGUGCUACAAUGGACGGUACAACGAGUCGCGAACUCGCGAGGGCAAGCAAAUCUCUUAAAACCGUUCUCAGUUCGGACUGCAGGCUGCAACUCGCCUGCACGAAGUCGGAAUCGCUAGUAAUCGCGGAUCAGCAUGCCGCGGUGAAUACGUUCCCGGGCCUUGUACACACCGCCCGUCACACCAUGAGAGUUUGUAACACCCAAAGUCGGUGGGGUAACCUUUUAGGAGCCAGCC
rnacentral:rRNA from 1 species